UACGUAGGGUGCGAGCGUUAUCCGGAAUUAUUGGGCGUAAAGCGUCCGCAGGUGGCACUUCAAGUCUGUCGUCAAAGACCGGGGCUUAACCCUGGAAAGGCGAUGGAAACUGAAAGGCUAGAGAGAGGUAGGGGUAGAGGGAAUUCCCAGUGUAGCGGUGAAAUGCGUAGAGAUUGGGAAGAACAUCGGUGGCGAAAGCGCUCUACUGGACCUCAUCUGACACUCAGGGACGAAAGCUAGGGGAGCGAAUGGG
rnacentral:rRNA from 1 species